rnacentral:lncRNA from 1 species
CUUCGGUAAAACAUGUAUUGCCUUAAUCAUUAUAUAGUACCUGGAAUUUUAACAAUACCUUGUUUGUAGGUAGUAUUCCUUGUAGGUGUUUCGAUUAAUACAUCUUCAAUAAUUAUUAUCCAAAUGAUAAAAACAAAAAACUAUAAAAAGGGCUGUACAAUGGUUUUAGAUAAAAUUCAGUAUGUAAUGGUAAUACCUUCAUCCAUAUUUGUUUUU